AUGUCGUGUUGUCGAGCCAUUACAGGGGCUGAGCUGCAACUGAUGCACGCUCGCACAGAGCUGGCACAUGUGUUGCUCCUAGCUAUAUCCAAGCCAGAGGGAGCAUCUGAUCCAAUUCCAAUAGAAGUAGAAGAGUUGCUCACGGAAUUUACAGAUCUGUUUGAAGAACCCAAAGGGUUGCCACCUCAGCGGGACUUCGACCAUGCCAUUGAGUUGAUUCCAGGGGCUCAACCAGUCAAACGUCGUCCGUAUCGUUAUAACCCAGCUCAGAAGGACGAAAUAGAAGCUCAGGUGGCUGAGAUGUUAAAGCAAGGGAUUAUUCAGCUCAGCCGUAGCCCGUUCUCAUCACCUGUCUUGCUGGUGCAGAAGAAAGAUGGUGAGUGGCAUUUUUGCGUGGACUAUCGCUUCCUCAAUGCUAUUACCAUCAAGAACCGAUACCCCAUUCCAGUCAUUGAUGAGUUGCUAGAUGAAUUACACGGUGCCACUGUGUUUACCAGUUUGGACUUGCGGUCGGGGUACCAUCAGAUUCGAAUGAGGCCAGAGGACGAGGCCAAGACGGCCUUCCAAACUCAUCAUGGUCAUUUCGAGUUUAAAGUAAUGCCGUAUGGAGUGACAGGUGGACCACCAACUUUCCAGGGAGGCAUGCAUGUGGUUCUUUCUCCAUUCCUGAGAAAAGGAGUCCUUGUUUUUAUUGAUGAUAUUCUGGUAUUUAGCAAAACCCUGGCUGAGCACGUGGUGUUGCUACGGAAGGUGUUCCAGCGACUGCAGCAAUACUCCUUGAAAGUGAAGAGGUCAAAAUGUACAUUUGCUCAACCGCAGCUGCGCUAUCUUGGCCAUGUUAUCAGCGCAAAAGGUGUAAGUACUGAUCCAAAGAACACUGACAAGGUUCUAGCUUGGAAGCAACCGGAGUCUGUCAAAGAAGUGCGCCAAUUUCUGGGGUUGGCAGGCUAUUAUCGCAAGUUUGUUAAACAUUUCGGAAUUAUCAGCAGGCCACUUACAGACUUGCUCAAGAAGGGUGUUCCGUUCUUGUGGACACCUACUCAAGAACAGGCUUUUCGCCUCUUGAAAACAGCUCUCACCACAGCGCCUGUUUUGGCUUUGCUGGACUUUUCCAAGCCUUUCGUCAUCGAAACAGACGCGUCAGAUGUUGGCAUUGGCGCGGUUCUUAUGCAACAGCAGCACCCCAUCGCCUUUCUCAGUCAGUCCUUGGGUCCUAAGCAUCGGGGGCUCUCGACCUAUGAGAAGGAGUGUCUGGCCAUUCUUAUGGCAGUCGACAGAUGGCGUUCAUAUCUUCUGCUGUCUGAGUUUACUAUCAGAACGGACCAUAGAAGCCUUUCACGUCUCGAUGAGCAGAAGCUUACUACUCCCUGGGAACACAAGGCUCUCACUAAGCUAUUGGGACUGCAAUAUAAGAUCGAGUAUCGUCGCGGGGCUUCUAAUGUAGCGGCUGAUGCUUUGUCUCGCCUGCCUGAGAGCAGCAUGUGCGCCCUGUCGGUGUGCGUGCCCACCUGGUUAGACAAGGUGAAGAAAGGAUAUCAGAAUGACCCGGCUUGCUCGAACAAGCUGGCAACUACAGCUACAGGGGCGCCGCUGGAUGGUCCUUUCACGGUGGUUGAUGGACUGAUUCGAUACAAGGGCAGGGUCUGGCUCGGCUCCAACGCAGCAGCUCAGAAGAGGGUUUUACAAGAACUGCAUGCGGGAGCACUUGGGGGGCACUCUGGUGUGCACGCUACAUAUAAUCGAAUCAUCAGGCAUUUUGCAUGGCCGAGAAUGAAACAGACUGUCAAGAACUUUGUGGCAAACUGUGCGGUUUGUAAGCAGGCCAAGCCGGAGCAUGUGAAGUAUCCAGGGCUUCUUCAGUCGUUGCCCGUGCCCGAGCAAGCCUGGGAGAUGGUAACUUUGGACUUCGUGGAAGGAUUGCCGUCUUCUCGAGGAUUUAACUCUAUCUUGGUGGUGGUGGAUAAGUUGACGCGGUACGCACAUUUUAUUCCCCUACGGCAUCCUUACUCAGCUUUACAAGUCGCAAAAGCUUACCUGGAGAAUGUGUUCAAACUUCAUGGGCCUCCUGAUAAGAUGGUCUCAGACCGUGAUCGUAUCUUCACCAGCCGGGUGUGGCAGGAGCUGUGCAAGCUGACGCGUACGACUCUGAACAUCUCUUCUACGCGGCACCCCCAGACUGAUGGUACCACCGAGAGAGUCAAUCAAUGCAUGGAACUGUACCUCCGUUGCUUUGUGCAUAACUGUCCUAGCAAGUGGGUGGACUGGCUGGCGUUGGCAGAAUUUUGGUAUAACACCUCUUAUCACUCAGCUCUUCGCUCUUCUCCAUUUGAAGUCCUGUAUGGACACAAGCCACGUUUCUUCGGGAUCACCAAUAUUGCCGAGGAGGCAGUAACUGAUUUGGCAGCCUGGACCAAAGAGAGAGCAACAGUGAUGGCGCUGGUCAAGCAACACUUGCACAGAGCGCAGCAGGUGAUGAAGAGCAAAGCUGAUCGCAAGCGCUCUGAUCGAGUUUUUGCUGUUGGGGACUGGGUGUACCUGAAGCUUCAGCCAUACGCGCAAUCGUCGGUGGCUACGAGAGCUAAUCACAAAUUGGCAUUUCGCUAUUUUGGUCCUUUUCAGGUGCUGGGGCGCGUCAGAGAGGUGGCAUACAAGCUGGCGCUACCUGAAAAGGCGCGUAUUCACCCCGUCAUCCAUGUCUCUCAACUCCGGCUGGGCUUGCCUCCGUCAACACAAGUUAUGCCGGAGCUGCCAACGCUCGACGAAGAUCUCCUUCCUCUGCAAGUGCCCGAGCAAAUUCUGCAACGUCGAUCGGUGACCCGGGGGGAUCGUCCAGUGAAGCAAGUCCUUGUGCCUUGGUCUGGGUUUCCCGAUUCGUUGGCCACCUGGGAAGAUGAGGUCCCUCUGAAAUCCAGAUUUCCCAGAGCUGUGGCUUGGGGUCAAGCCAAGUCUCAAGGAGAGGGGAAUGUCACGGGAAGGGUGGGCCCCGUCCAGAGAAGCCCAGCCCAGCCGGAG
rnacentral:rRNA from 1 species